rnacentral:tRNA from 1 species
UUUGGCACAGUAGGUAGAGUGUCAGUAUCACAAGCUGAAAGUCCUGAGUUUGAUCCUCAGAA